rnacentral:rRNA from 1 species
GCCUCUGGCCAAACUGCCCAGAAUUCACCCAAUAUCUGAUCUUGGAAGCUAAUCAGGUUUGGGGCUGGUUGGGACUUGGAUAGCAGAAGCC